rnacentral:sRNA from 1 species
GGAAGCGCAGCGCCAUGUUUUUGAAAAGCUAAAUUCGUACAACAAUGGCUUCUUUGGAAGUCGUGACGAUUGUCAGAGCUAUAGAAAGAAAAUCAAUGGUACAUUUGAGUGGACAAUUGCACGCCAGUGAUAUAGAACACAGCCGUCUUAUUCUACAUCAGUAGUGGACAAUAGUAUGUCAGUAAAAUAGAACCCAGCCCUCUUAUUCUACAUCAGUGGACAAUAGCACGCCAGUGAAAUAGAACAACAGCCUUUCAUCUACAGGGGAAUAACAGCAUGGCGUUCAACCAGAAUACAAUUAUCUGGCUGUUGUUUCUCAUCUUCCUAGCUUGGCCAGUGGGUUACGUCUGUGCCAACCUGUAUGUUUUCAUCACUCCGAUGUAUGCAAUCUUUCCUGACAUGAAGUGUUUUAUAGACAUGCUGAAAGAUGGGAUGGCUUUGCCAUACAAGGCAGCCUGGAAUUCUGUCAAUGGGGUACCUUUAAGAAGUGACAUGGUGCAAUAAGGCGCCGGGAAACAUAAUAAAUAAAAGACCAUGAUUGAUACCAAA